AACGAACGCUGGCGGCAGGCUUAACACAUGCAAGUCGAGCGCCUCGCAAGGGGAGCGGCAGACGGGUGAGUAACGCGUGGGAAACUACCCUUUGGUACGGAAUAACACAGAGAAAUUUGUGCUAAUACCGUAUGAGCCCUUCGGGGAAAGAUUUAUCGCCAUAGGAUGUGCCCGCGUAGGAUUAGCUAGUUGGUGUGGUAAUGGCGCACCAAGGCGACGAUCCUUAGCUGGUCUGAGAGGAUGAUCAGCCACACUGGGACUGAGACACGGCCCAGACUCCUACGGGAGGCAGCAGUGGGGAAUAUUGGACAAUGGGGGCGAACCCUGAUCCAGCAAUGCCGCGUGAGUGAAGAAGGCCUCGG
rnacentral:rRNA from 1 species